GGGUCUCUCUGGUUAGACCAGAUCUGAGCCUGGGAGCUCUCUGGCUAACUAGGGAACCCAC
ensembl:miRNA